GCCUGGCUGGCUCAGUCGGUAAAGCAUGAGAUUCUUGAUCUCAGGGUCAUGAGUUUGAGCCCCACGUUGGGCA
rnacentral:tRNA from 1 species